rnacentral:rRNA from 1 species
CUGACUGCUAUCGGAUGAUACUAAGCCAUGCGAGUCUUUGUAGUAAUACAAGGCAUACGGCUCAGUAACACGUAGUCAACCUACCCUAUGGACGAGAAUAAUCUCGGGAAACUGAGCAUAAUUCUCGAUAGAUCAUAAUGCCUGGAAUGGUUUAUGGUUAAAAUGAUUCGUCGCCAUAGGAUGGGACUGCGGCCUAUCAGCUUGUUGGUGAGGUAAUGGCCCACCAAGGCGAUUACAGGUACGGGCUCUGAGAGGAGAAGCCCGGAGAUGGGUACUGAGACACGGACCCAGGCCCUAUGGGGCGCAGCAGGCGAGAAAACUUUGCAAUGUGCGAAAGCACGACAAGGUUAAUCCGAGUGAUUUCUGCUAAAGAAAUCUUUUGCCAGUCAUAAAACCACUGGUGAAUAAGGGGUGGGCAAGUUCUGGUGUCAGCCGCCGCGGUAAAACCAGCACCUCAAGUGGUCAGGACGAUUAUUGGGCCUAAAGCAUCCGUAGCCGGCCUUGUAAGUUUUCGGUUAAAUCCAUGUGCUCAACGCAUGGGCUGCCGAAAAUACUGCAUAGCUAGGGAGUGGGAGAGGUAGACGGUACUCAGUAGGAAGGGGUAAAAUCCUUUGAUCUAUUGAUGACCACCUGUGGCGAAGGCGGUCUACCAGAACACGUUCGACGGUGAGGGAUGAAAGCUGGGGGAGCAAACCGGAUUAGAUACCCGGGUAGUCCCAGCUGUAAACGAUGCAGACUCGAUGAUGCAUUGGCAUAAUAGCCAGUGCAGUGUCGCAGGGAAGCCGUUAAGUCUGCCGCCUGGGAAGUACGUACGCAAGUAUGAAACUUAAAGGAAUUGGCGGGGGAGCACCACAAGGGGUGAAGCCUGCGGUUCAAU